rnacentral:tRNA from 1 species
GCGCCAGUAGCUCAGCCGGAUAGAGCAACGGCCUUCUAAGCCGUGGGUCAGGGGUUCGAGUCCCUUCUGGCGCGCCA